rfam:Aspergillus rambellii strain SRRC1468 contig00298, whole genome shotgun sequence.
GGCAAGGUGGCCGAGCGGUCUAAGGCGCGCGGUUAAGGUGUCCAACUCGGAUCCCCUCUUGUAUAACAAGUUUCCGCGUCAUUAAUUUGGCGUGGGUUCGAAUCCCACCCUUGUCA